GCUGCACACAGUUGGAGCUUGGAGCUGAGGCCUGUUUCUGGCCGAGGAACUCUCAAGUGUAGGACGUGUGCUAGAGUAACCUGGCAGGACUUUUCGCUGACACCAUGAGGGUCUCGGCCCAAUGAGUGGAGUUUGGUAGUCAUUCUUGCCACAGUU
rfam:Columba livia unplaced genomic scaffold scaffold57, whole genome shotgun sequence.